AGCGCGCCCCGCGACUGGCGCUGAAGAUGGAAUCCCAUCGGGAAGCGGGGCCGGCCGGCAGGCUGUCUUGAGCCGCGCGCCUGGGUGAUCCAU
rnacentral:ncRNA from 2 species